UUGCUAUCUGCGAUAUGGAAGAUUCGAACCUGCCGCAGGUUCGGGUCUCACGCAGUGAGACAACGGAGCCGUUUACGGCGACGGCCCGUAGGGCGAGCGAAGCGAGUCAUCCUGCACGACCCACCA
rnacentral:sRNA from 6 species